CUGUUAACGUUAUUAAAAAAUCGACAAUAGAAACUUCUGACGAUUUCGAACUUCUCCCAGCAAAAAUUCACUAAAUAGUUCCAAAAAUAAACAAUUAGUCCCCACUGUGCCAUAACCCCGAGAGACAUCCGCAGAUUUGAGGCGUCGUAUGGGCUUCGGACCUGACGGCCCGUCCUUCUGCCCUUGUUUGUACGUAUUACGCAGAAUGAUGUUCUAGCCGAAGCAUCAGGAGAGAGACUAGCCGGCCCCCAGACCAUAUCAGCUCAACACAUUCUCCUCGUCAGGACAAUCAUAAUCAUUGAAUGUCAAAUCUCCUCAAAUCAAACAUAAUCAUUGUUUUGACAAAUAAGUCAUGAUCAGAGAAAGACUUGGAUCUAGCUAAAACACAAACCAAGAUGGCGGACGGAGUUAUUCAAUCAGGUGAAACAAAAACCAAUAAGCAUCCUUACAAGAAAUGUUCAUUGUGUGAAGAGAAGAAUGGCAAUGCAGCCAAAAAGUGUAAAAAAUGCAAAAAUGAUUUUAACAUCAUUUCAACUCAUGACUGGGAGGCAUUGCAAAGAAAGGGCAAGACAUGUCCCACUGAUCAAAGGAAAAAGAUGCAAAUGAGGGCAAAUAUACUUCAUUCCCAACAUGACUGGGAAAUCAUUAUCUUGGGCUACAAGCGGCACAGCAGAGGUACCAGUUUUUAUACCUAUGGAACCCCCGGCUUGGGCGAACAGUUCAUUGGUAAUGACAAAGCCGGAGGAAGGAGUGAAGAUGGGAAAGAUGGUCAUAAAAAUGUUUACUGCAUUCAUGAAAGAACAAAAGCAAGACAACAUCAGAAACAACGAUGGGCCAAAGAAAAAUAUAAUCAACAAUAGAGACAGUGAACUUGAGAACAACAACAAAAGACCAACAAAUUACAGCAGCAACAACGAAAUACAAACAAACAACAGCAGUAACAACGAUGGACCAACAAACAACAGCAGUAACAACGAUGGACCAACAAACAACAGCAGUAACAACGAUGGACCAACAAACAACAGCAACAACAACGAUGGACCAACAAACAACAGCAACAACAACAAAAGACCAAGGCUCGACCAGAGCACGACAAACAAUUAUAAACCUGAAAACAAGAAAACAAAGUUGAACGCCAUCAUUAAUCAUCGAAUUGUGGCUUAUGUUCCUGAUCAGAAAAGCGUUGCAGCCGUUGGAAUUGUACAUGGAGAUAGAAAAGCGCUCCAUGGGCACUGUAUUUCUCAAGAUUGUGUGUGCGUAGAAAUUACUUACGUACUCAAGAAAGAAAUUCGUGCACCAAUCGUUCUUGGAGAUCCCGAGGAGAACUCUGUAUUGUCCCUUGGCCGUUUCUUUGCAUUUCCCAAAAAAUACCUAUACGUCUAUGAGAGCCCGAAAAGCCCACUGCGAUCCUACCUUUCAUGUUACGAGUGAAAAUAUUUUAUUAUUUAUAAUAUUAGUAAGUCUCCGAUUUCUACUUAACUCCAGCAUCGUCGUAAAGAUAGAAUUUAAUGAUUGUUCUACAACAACGCUUUAUGCGUUUCUGACAAGUUUCGGCUGCACGUUGACUUAUUCAAAAGAUGUACUAUAGAAUUAUAUUAACCCCUCUAGUCGGAUAAUGUUAGGAAAUUGAAAUGUAUUUUUUUAUUUAAUAAUUUCACUACAUAGUUAAACAGGUAUGAGAAAUUACAGGAAACUCUGCCAUUGAUUUGCCAGUUCAGCGUACCACCAAAAAGAUCAAAAACAGAUUGACAACCUUUUCAAGACAGCUAAUAAAUUUAGUCACACCCACAAAACAAUAACAAUUGCUGAACUUUUAAGAAAAUACGGCUCAGUUCUUUGAACAUUCAUAUCUGAUAAACAAAAUCACAUGAAUAAUUGACUUACUGAGGUGAAGCCAUAACCAUGUCCUUCCGCGUAUUGGUACGAAAAGCUUUUUUCAUAAAUUCAAUGUCUCUUUAAAUAUUAUACAGUCAUAUUAUACGGCUGUUUACAGUAGAGGGCUUUCAUUACAUCCGUGAAACACUUUUUAAGAAAUUGCACAUUAUUUUGUACUAAUUUGCACAAUUUUGUUAUAACAAAGUGUUUCACGGGUAUAAUGAAAGCACUCUAAUUAUAUAGAUUUAUUUGUAAUUUGUAUAUAUGUUGUCGUUUAGGUUUUAAUAUGAUUUUUUAAAACCAGCUAAAUUUCCUUCUCUAUCACCCUCCCCCAUUAUAAAUAUGAUUAAUUAUAUCAACAAA